rnacentral:rRNA from 1 species
CGUCAAAUCAUCAUGCCCCUUAUGAUUUGGGCUACACACGUGCUACAAUGGCGCAAACAAAGGGAAGCAGCCCCGUGAGGGUGAGCAAAUCCCAAAAACAGCGUCUCAGUUCGGAUUGUAGUCUGCAACUCGACUACAUGAAGCCGGAAUCGCUAGUAAUCGCGGAUCAGCAUGCCGCGGUGAAUACGUUCCCGGGUCUU